rnacentral:rRNA from 1 species
GACGAACGCUGGCGGCGUGCCUAAUACAUGCAAGUAGAACGCUGAAGAGAGGAGCUUGCUCUUCUUGGAUGAGUUGCGAACGGGUGAGUAACGCGUAGGUAACCUGCCUUGUAGCGGGGGAUAACUAUUGGAAACGAUAGCUAAUACCGCAUAACAAUGGAUGACACAUGUCAUUUAUUUGAAAGGGGCAAUUGCUCCACUACAAGAUGGACCUGCGUUGUAUUAGCUAGUAGGUGAGGUAACGGCUCACCUAGGCGACGAUACAUAGCCGACCUGAGAGGGGGAGCGGCCACCCUGGGACGGGGACACGCCCCAGACCCCCCCGGGGGGAAGCAGGAGGGAUUCUUCGGAAAGGGGGGCACCCCUGACCGGGCAACGCCGGGUGGGGAAAGAGGUGUUUCGGAUCGAAAAUCUCGGUUGAAAGUCAAGAACGGGGGUGGGAGUGAAAAUUUUCCACUGUGACGGUAGCUAACAAGAAAGGGACGGCUAACUACGUC